AUUGAACGCUGGCGGCAGGCCUAACACAUGCAAGUUGAGCGGAUGAAGGGGGCUUGCUCCUGGAUUCAGCGGCGGACGGGUGAGUAAUGCCUAGGAAUCUGCCUGGUAGUGGGGGAUAACGUCCGGAAACGGGCGCUAAUACCGCAUACGUCCUGAGGGAGAAAGUGGGGGAUCUUCGGACCUCACGCUAUCAGAUGAGCCUAGGUCGGAUUAGCUAGUUGGUGGGGUAAAGGCCUACCAAGGCGACGAUCCGUAACUGGUCUGAGAGGAUGAUCAGUCACACUGGAACUGAGACACGGUCCAGACUCCUACGGGAGGCAGCAGUGGGGAAUAUUGGACAAUGGGCGAAAGCCUGAUCCAGCCAUGCCGCGUGUGUGAAGAAGGUCUUCGGAUUGUAAAGCACUUUAAGUUGGGAGGAAGGGCAGUAAGUUAAUACCUUGCUGUUUUGACGUUACCAACAGAAUAAGCACCGGCUAACUUCGUG
rnacentral:rRNA from 1 species